GUGGGGAAUUUUGGACAAUGGGGGAAACCCUGAUCCAGCCAUUCCGCGUGAGUGAAGAAGGCCUUCGGGUUGUAAAGCUCUUUCAGCAGGAACGAAACGGUCGGCUUUAAUAAAGUCGGCUAAUGACGGUACCUGCAGAAGAAGCACCGGCUAACUACGUGCCAGCAGCCGCGGUAAUACGUAGGGUGCGAGCGUUAAUCGGAAUUACUGGGCGUAAAGCGUGCGCAGGCGGCGACAUAAGACAGAUGUGAAAUCCCCGGGCUCAACCUGGGAACUGCGUUUGUGACUGUGUUGCUAGAGUGUAGCAGAGGGGGGUGGAAUUCCACGUGUAGCAGUGAAAUGCGUAGAGAUGUGGAGGAACACCGAUGGCGAAGGCAGCCCCCUGGGUUAACACUGACGCUCAUGCACGAAAGCGUGGGGAGCAAACAGGAUUAGAAACCCGGGUAGUCC
rnacentral:rRNA from 1 species